UACAGAGGUCUCAAGCGUUUGUUCGGAUUCAUUGGGCGUAAAGGGUGCGUAGGCGGCGCGGUAAGUCGGGUGUGAAUCUCGGGCUUAACUCCGAAACUGCAUUCGAUACUGCCGUGAUUGAGGACUGGAGAGGAGACUGGAAUUUACGGUGUAGCGGUGAAAUGCGUAGAUAUCGUAAGGAAGACCAGUGGCGAAGGCGGGUC
rnacentral:rRNA from 1 species